CUUUUGUUUGUUUUUAUCCUGGAUUUGAAAUGAAUGAGAAGCCGUUUUUGGUGGAAGGAAAGAUCUUUAAUGGCAAUAUGAUGUGGAUUUGGAGUGACAGGUUUUUAAAAGCUUCUUUUGAAUUUGGCUCUUUGGAAGAGAAGAUACUAAAUGAAACUCUUGAGUCCAUCCAGGUGGUUGGCAUGUGGUAUAAGUGGAAAAGCACUAGGUUGAGAGUAAAUACUGUUUUCUUGCUAUGCGACUUCGACAAGACAUUUAACUUGUCUGGGCCUUAGAUUUCUUAUUUGCAAAAUAAAAAUCAGGAUAAUCUCUGAAACACUUUCUAGUUCUCUCUACUGUCAGAAAUGUUAUUUUAAAAAUCCAUGGAUGUUCCGUUUUUGAUAUUUUGCAAUAUUACCUCCAAGUUCAAAUUCCAAGGUCAUAAAGCUGAACUUACUGUUACUGCUCCCUUUUUAGCCUUCAUAGAUUGGACAAUUAAAGAGUCUGAAGUAGCUAUGAAUGGAAAUAAGUUUGUGUAAAGUAAAAACAUCUCAUUGAACAUUGCUGUGUAGAAAGUCAUUAGCUGCUUCAACGUGAAUGAAAUGUGGUUGAAGAGUACAAACCCGGGCAAUAGAUGUAAUAAGCUCAGAAAUCAGACCUGCAUUCAGAUCCUAGUUUGAUUCCUUAACCAUCUGAAAGACCACCUUAGACACAUUAUUUAAUUCCUACAAACUUUAUUUCAUCAUCUAAAAUAGGAAUAUUGGGGUUUACUUGGUUGUGAGGAUCCAGUGACAUUAUGCAGGUAAAUCAUCAAGCACAUGCUGGCCAUACAGUAAAGUGCUAAUUAUUGUUAUGAUUUUAUGAUAAGACCAGCAAGAUGUGAAUGUUAGCUCUCUGAUUUAAUAAUACAGGUCUAGGAUUUAUUCUUGGGAAAAUAAUAUCAACAAGGAAUGUUCUGUAUGUAAUAAAUCAUCGUUAGAUCACUAAUUAUGUUAAUUGCUGAUAGCUCAUGGUUUUAGUCAGUUUCUUACUGCAAAUGUAUUCUGAACUGCUGUAAUGUUAACCAAAUAGGAAUGAAAGUUGUGUUACAUGUGAUUUUCCUACAGGGGAAUGAACAGCUUGAAAAACAGUUAAGUCAGGUUUUCUGUUAAUUAUUCCCUCAAUCACAUGCGUCUGCCAUUUGAUGGGAUUUCAAAUAUUUUGUGGAAAGUAGGACUGAUACAUAAAUUACUUUUUGUGCAAAAAAUAUUAAAACCAUGCACAGCUUUUUCAUAAUAAGAAUUUUCCGUGAACAUUUUUAAGAACCCUCCGAAUGGAAUCCUUACGACACUCGUUCUUGUCUAAAGGGGUCUCCAUUGCCUGCCGCUUCUGCCUAGAAGACUGUCUCUCCAGGACAGCUCAUUCUCUUACAUUGCUGCGGCCUCUGCCUCCGUGCUGGCUGCUCAGAGAGGCUGCCCUGCACUGUCCUCUCUAAAGCAGUGCUGCCCCACUGUUCUGCUCGCCUCUGUACUUCCCGUUUCUUGAUUUAUUAUAUUCAUUUGUUGU